CCUACGGGGGGCAGCAGUGGGGAAUAUUGGACAAUGGGGGCAACCCUGAUCCAGCCAUGCCGCGUGUGUGAAGAAGGCCCUCGGGUUGUAAAGCACUUUCAGUGAGGAAGAACGCCUGGUGGUUAAUACCCAUCAGGAAAGACAUCACUCACAGAAGAAGCACCGGCUAACUCCGUGCCAGCAGCCGCGGUAAUACGGAGGGUGCGAGCGUUAAUCGGAAUUACUGGGCGUAAAGCGCGCGUAGGUGGCUUGAUAAGCCGGUUGUGAAAGCCCCGGGCUCAACCUGGGAACGGCAUCCGGAACUGUCAAGCUAGAGCGCAGGAGAGGAAGGUAGAAUUCCCGGUGUAGCGGUGAAAUGCGUAGAGAUCGGGAGGAAUACCAGUGGCGAAGGCGGCCUUCUGGACUGACACUGACACUGAGGUGCGAAAGCGUGGGUAGCAAACAGGAUUAGAUACCCUAGUAGUC
rnacentral:rRNA from 1 species